rnacentral:rRNA from 1 species
AAAGGAAUAGACGGGGGCCCGCACAAGCGGUGGAGCAUGUGGUUUAAUUCGAAGCAACGCGAAGAACCUUACCAGGUCUUGACAUCUUCUGCUACUUCUAGAGAUAGAAGGUUCCCCUUCGGGGGACAGAAUGACAGGUGGUGCAUGGUUGUCGUCAGCUCGUGUCGUGAGAUGUUGGGUUAAGUCCCGCAACGAGCGCAACCCUUGACCUUAGUUGCCAGCAUUGAGUUGGGCACUCUAAGGUGACUGCCGGUGACAAACCGGAGGAAGGUGGGGAUGACGUCAAAUCAUCAUGCCCCUUAUGACCUGGGCUACACACGUGCUACAAUGGAUGGUACAAAGGGAAGCGAAGUCGUGAGGCGGAGCGAAUCCCAAAAAGCCAUUCUCAGUUCGGAUUGCAGGCUGCAACUCGCCUGCAUGAAGCCGGAAUCGCUAGUAAUCGUGGAUCAGCACGCCACGGUGAAUACGUUCCCGGGCCUUGUACACACCGCCCGU